rnacentral:rRNA from 1 species
ACUAGUGAUUUCCGUAGGUGAACCUGCGGAAGGAUCAUUCGCACAAAAUGUUCUUAUUACACGCCACACACCACAGUGAUACCCUGUCAUCAUUAUGGAUUUAUUUUCCAACUCUUCGAUGUUGCAAUGUCAUUGUAGCGCUUACAAUGUUAUCUAUCUCUUGCAACGACGAAUGCCUUGGCUCGAGGAUCGUUGAAGGACGCAGCGAACUGUGUUACACAUCUCGAAUUGCAGAUUUCCGAGAAAGAUAAGGAUUCUGAACGCAUUCUGCGAGUUGGGCUUGCUCAACUCACGUGGUUGGCGGUGAUCGCAAUAUGCAGUCAUUCAAACUCUGAAGUUUGUUUGGUCAUCUCAUGUUGUCGCCAGUGUUGGCGCCGACGUGAUCGUAGAAGUUAGCGUUCUAAAAGUUUAGAGCACAAGUUGUGACAGUUGUCCAAAAUGUGUUUUGAUUUUUUGAAAGCUGAAGUUUGAAUCGUCAAACUUUUUUCUCGCACGCUCACGACCAAUCACGGGAUUACCCGCGGAAUUUAAGCAUAUCAA